rnacentral:sRNA from 1 species
CACCGCCUGGGGAGUACGACCGCAAGGUUAAAACUCAAAUGAAUUGACGGGGACCCGCACAAGUAGUGGAGCAUGUGGUUUAAUUCGAAGAUACGCGCAGAACCUUACCAACACUUGACAUGUUCGUCGCGACUUUAAGAGAUUAAAGUUUUCGGUUCGGCCGGACGAAACACAGGUGCUGCAUGGCUGUCGUCAGCUCGUGUCGUGAGAUGUUGGGUUAAGUCCCGCAACGAGCGCAACCCUCACUUUUAGUUGCCAUCAUUAAGUUGGGCACUCUGAAAGAACUGCCAGUGAUAAGCUGGAGGAAGGUGGGGAUGACGUCAAGUCCUCAUGGCCCUUACGUGUUGGGCUACACACGUGCCACAAUGGUAUCUACAACAGGAAGCAAAACGGCGACGUUAAGCAAAUCCUUAAAAGAUACCUCAGUUCGGAUUGCACUCUGCAACUCGAGUGCAUGAAGCUGGAAUUACUAGUAAUCGUGGAUCAGCGUGCCACGGUGAAUGCGUUCCCGGGUCUUGUACACACCGCCCGUCACACCAUGGGAGUUGGUUCUACCUUAAGGCAAGGUUUCAAACCCUUGACCACGGUAUAGUCAGCGACUGGGGUGAAGUCGUAACAAGGUAGCCGUAGGGGAACCUGCGGCUGGAUUACCUCCUUUCUAAGGAUGAGUAAAAAUUUUUUUACUCUAAAUAAUAUACAGGUUAAUGUUGACCGUCCUCAUCUCUCUUCUUAAACAGUGUUUCUCUUGCAUGGGGGCCGGUAGCUCAGUUGGUUAGAGCACACCCUUGAUAAGGGUGGGGUCGAAAGUUCGAGUCUUUCUCGGCCCACCAAUUAAGAUCAUGGGGGAUUAGCUCAGCUGGGAGAGCGCCUGAUUUGCAUUCAGGAGGUCAGCGGUUCGAUCCCGCUAUCCUCCACCAGUAACACUUAGUUAUUUUAUUUGUAAAUUAAUUUUAAAUUAUCAAUAUCUAUAUCCGAUUGUUCGAAUAGAUGAACAAUCACAAAUGUUUGAAUAAAUGAACAUUUUAAAAAAUUUGAUUCAACACAGAAUUUUUUUCUG